GCGAAAUGCUGGCCUCGGCGGAGCCCCCGUCCAGUCCCCGGGCGGGCGUAGCGGCGCCUUGCAAUCCGGGCCGCGAGAUCAUCCCACUUGCAGCACGAAUCUCAAUGAAAAUAUGGCUCUCACGGCUAACUGCAUGCAGCACCCGCCAGGGCGGCAGGAAACACAGGCUGCAGCUAAUCGAACCUUUGCCAGCGGAUGUGUCCUGCCGGGGUGGAAGGACCCAGCCCGUUCGGCCCGUAGGAAGGGAGGAGAGACCGGCCCCACCGAGGCUGCCCUGCUCGGCCACGGCUUUCGAGCCUGGACAACGCUCCAGGCUGCUGUUCCCAGCAGACAGCGUCAUCUCUAAAGGUGCAAAUCCAUUCAGAAUUUGGUCCUGGCACGUUACAAAGGUGCAAACAAGCUGACAUCACCGUUGAGUUGUGACUUUGUCGCCAGCUAUGAGAUUCCUUGCUGAAAAUGCUAAGGGCUUUUUUUUUAAAGCUUUUUCUGAAGCAAAGUUAAUUUUAGAUUAGUCCCUCAGGCUAUGAUGGCUCUCCAGCGCUGCUCUGUAAACAAGAGAGGAGGGUCUUCCUGCAUUUACAGGAUUACGAUGCAAAUGAUCCGAUGAACAAGAACGCUAAUAAAAACUGCUGUUAUUGUAUUACCCUGCUUGCAACUCUAACUGAUAGAAAACUUUCUCUGUGGUGCUUGGUUAUCUGCUGUAAAUGAGGUGUUUCACAAUGUUAGUCAUCUGAGACGACGUCCUUCCUAAGAGCACCGGUUUUAUUGCGCGUUCAGAAACACUGUGCAAGCCUCUGCCCUCGGCAGGUGGAAAUUAAAGGACCUACAUUUGGGGAACGGCCUAGACUUGCUGCUUUCCAAGGGCAGCUGACCCUGCAGGCACCUUCAGACACCGUCUUGUGGCACUCGCAGCAUCUCCUUGGUGAAUAAGCAUAAAGGUGGCUGCCAUCAAGGGCUAUCACAGCUGAGAGAGACAGGGAGACAUCCAGCCUCCAUCUGCACUGGUGGAGACUGGAUACCAACCAUGACCUGGGAACAUGAAAUGGCCUCAGAAGGAAAUAACUUUUUACUAGUUAAAAAACUUGGCUGUAGACGGAAUUAUAGGUCUCUCACCUACCAUUUAAUUUAUAAUGUAGUUGAGUGGUGGGAAAACCCACAAAGCAUAGCUGGGUUUUCAGUUCAUCUCAGCUUUAAACACCGAACUUUGCAUACCAGAAGAGCGCCUAACUCACAGGCCUGGCAGGCCUGGACUCCCGUUAGCUGAAGCUCGGUAGAAAACACAAAUGCCAGGUUUGUGGGACUAGGAGGAGAACAUGCAAAAAGCGGCUGGGCUCUGCAGCCUGCUCGUGAAGACAGAGACGCGGCUCCACAAGGUGCUCUCGCAUUUCGCCAGGUUACGCACAAUCCUUCCUUCCUUGCAGUCAAAGCCAUACGAUGUCUGCUGUGACCCGCCCAGUACUGCCUUCCCUUUACCCUACGCCCUGAGGACUAGAAUUUCCUUCUUUAUGUUUUAAGCAUGGAAAAGUGAGUAUAUACUUAAACUUUUUUUUUUUUUUUUUUUUUUUUUUAAAAAGGGUUUAAUGCCCAAGUCCAGCCCUACUUAAGCAAAGAAUUCACAGAUAUUUACAAGUCCAGUGUAAUUACUGCAGGGUUGAAAAACGAGUUCUGUGAGUUAUGGUACAUCAUUGUUUUUCUUUUUUCUUUUUUUUUUUUUUUAAACAUUACAAAGAACAAUGUGCCUUUCAUUUCCUGCCGUGCUGUUAAGGUACUUGCAGCUCAAAGCAGCAAGAAUACAUUAAAACUAAAAAGCAUUUGGUUUGGGCAUUAAACAUUUUUAUUUUUUAGGUAAAUGCCUCUCCCUCCUCAGAAAUUGUUUGAGCAGUGAAUUUGGCACACAUUUGUAAUCAGCUGUAAUAAUGAAUGCUGUCUUGCUCACUUGAAGUGGGAGAAUUUACCAACUUCUUUAAGAAGAAUUUGCUCAUCUACAAUUAAAGUGAUGUGCUGCUAACUCGGAGUCAUCAAGUCACAAGAACACAUGCUCAGGAAACAUCACUGCUCUACAGAAAAUGAUGCAGCGCUCUUCUGCUUUACCCGGUGCACUCCAGGCAUACCUCUACACCGCAGUUAUUAAUUUGCUGGUACCACCACAUCAAGCACCAACAUCGCCUGAUGGAUGUCGGACAUCCGUCCAGUGACAGCAGGAACACAGCGUCGUGCCCCCACUAUUAACCAGUUUGCGUUUCACCCUCUUUGCCUUUCUCCAGAUUAAAACCCUACCGAAGCAGA